AUGGAAAGUAACAGAGCGGCCGACCCUGACAAUAUCCCUGUGGAAUUCUAUAAACACUGUUGGGAAUUUGUUAAAAACGAUAUUAUGCACCUAUUCAAAGCGUUCCACAACAAUACCUUGGAUGUGGCACGCCUGAACUAUGGUGUCAUAACACUGAUUCCUAAGAUGAAUGGAGCAAAGAAAAUACAACAGUACCGCCCAAUAUGCCUCCUACGAUGCCCAUACAAACUGAUCACGAAAGUUCUGGACAAUAGGGUUGCGGUAUUUGCUGAUAAGCUGAUUAGCAAGCACUAGAAUGCUUUUAUCAAGCAUAGAAAUAUAAUGGAUGGAAUCUCACGCUACAUGAGGUGUUGCAUCACACUCAUCAAAAGAAAAAAUGUGGGAUUGUAUUAA
rnacentral:rRNA from 1 species